rnacentral:rRNA from 1 species
AGCGAACGCUGGCGGCAGGCCUAACACAUGCAAGUCGAACGGAUCCUUCGGGAUUAGUGGCGGACGGGUGAGUAACACGUGGGAACGUGCCCUUUGGUUCGGAACAACUCAGGGAAACUUGAGCUAAUAUCGGAUGUGCCCUUCGGGGGAAAGAUUUAUCGCCAUUGGAGCGGCCCGCGUCUGAUUAGCUAGUUGGUGAGGUAACGGCCCACCAAGGCGACGAUCAGUAGCUGGUCUGAGAGGAUGAUCAGCCACACUGGGACUGAGACACGGCCCAGACUCCUACGGGAGGCAGCAGUGGGGAAUCUUGCGCAAUGGGCGAAAGCCUGACGCAGCCAUGCCGCGUGAAUGAUGAAGGUCUUAGGAUUGUAAAAUUCUUUCAGCGGGGACGAUAAUGACGGUACCCGCAGAAGAAGCUCCGGCUAACUUCGUG